GCCUGGGUGGGAGAUGGUGGCACAGGGAAUGGGCCAGCUCUGGGUCAUCUGAGCAUCCUGGCUGGAGGGUUGAACAGAAGUGUGCCCUCAGGCCACACUGCUGAGGAGUGUGUUAGCCGGGCAGAUUCCGCCUCCGCUUCCAUCCAUCUGCACCCCAUUCACCCCCCGGGCUCAAAACAGCAUCCCCGCAGGCCGUAAAUGAGGCUGAAGCUCUGUCAUUCAGCAGCAGGAACAGGCACAAGGGUGAGAAGAGAGUCUAGUGGGAGAUGAAGGCGGAUGUGAGGAGUGCUCUGCUUGCCGGAUCUGAACAGCGGAGGGACUCUGACACAAAGGGACCCUCGACAUUUGCCUAGUCCCCGUUGCUAAUGA